UCUACGCAUUCAACACCAUGAUCACAUGUGAUGCCGACCUCUGGAUGUCAGUCCAUGUUUCCUGGGGUCAUGUCAUGACUCGUGGGUAUGGCGGGGGAGCCCUCUCCGUCAGCACCUGGAAGCAAAACUUCGGCUUGCUUGGAGACUCCAGCUAUACAUUAGAACCGUGGUUCCUGACACCAGUGCCCGGACGACCAGCUCGUGGCACCCCUGAUAACCAC